rnacentral:rRNA from 1 species
UAGGGAAUCUUCGGCAAUGGGGGCAACCCUGACCGAGCAACGCCGCGUGAGUGAAGAAGGUUUUCGGAUCGUAAAGCUCUGUUGUAAGAGAAGAACGAGUGUGAGAGUGGAAAGUUCAUACUGUGACGGUAACUUACCAGAAAGGGACGGCUAACUACGUGCCAGCAGCCGCGGUAAUACGUAGGUCCCGAGCGUUAUCCGGAUUUAUUGGGCGUAAAGCGAGCGCAGGCGGUUAGAUAAGUCUGAAGUUAAAGGCUGUGGCUUAACCAUAGUACGCUUUGGAAACUGUUUAACUUGAGUGCAGAAGGGGAGAGUGGAAUUCCAUGUGUAGCGGUGAAAUGCGUAGAUAUAUGGAGGAACACCGGUGGCGAAAGCGGCUCUCUGGUCUGUAACUGACGCUGAGGCUCGAAAGCGUGGGGAGCAAACAGGAUUAGAUACCCUGGUAGUCCACGCCGUAAACGAUGAGUGCUAGGUGUUGGGUCCUUUCCGGGACUCAGUGCCGCAGCUAACGCAUUAAGCACUCCGCCUGGGGAGUACGACCGCAAGGUUG